UACGAAGGGGGCUAGCGUUGCUCGGAUUUACUGGGCGUAAAGGGCGCGUAGGCGGACAGUUAAGUUGGGGGUGAAAGCCCGGGGCUCAACCUCGGAAUUGCCUUCAAUACUGGCUGUCUUGAGUGUAGCAGAGGGGGGUGGAAUUCCGACGUGUAGCAGUGAAAUGCGUAGAGAUGUGGAGGAACACCGAUGGCGAAGGCAGCCCCCUGGGUUAACACUGACGCUCAUGCACGAAAGCGUGGGGAGCAAACAGG
rnacentral:rRNA from 1 species